AGGUGCGAUCAUACCAGCACUAAUGCACCGGAUCCCAUCAGAACUCCGCAGUUAAGCGUGCUUGGGCGAGAGUAGUACUAGGAUGGAUGACCUCCUGGAAAGUCCUUGUGUUUAACCUC
rnacentral:rRNA from 2 species